AAAAUGUUCUAAAAAUGUACUAACUAGAAUGGAUGAAUUAUUAUAGGUUUCUUUAAAUGAUAAUUUAGAAAAGUUCCCCAAAGUCCAGUGUGAAGAAUUUUAGUUACUUUCUGACAAUUAACAAUUUGAAACAUAUCUAGUAUUAGACAUUUUGCUUUAAAAGAAAUGGAUACAAAAUCGUUUGCAGGGAAGUACAUACUUUUAUAAGAAUUCAUUAUCUAUAAUAGAGUGCAUUGCCAUAAUUUGGGAAUGUAAGAAAGCACUCAAUUAAGGAGCUAUGGACAUUGACAACUAAAACCUUUUUUUUUUUUGCAGGGGGAGGAAGGAUAAGGGUUGGGUGUGUGUCAUUUCAGAGGGUUAGAGCCAAUGGCCCUAACUUAUCUCUGUAGCCAAUAUUGUAUCCAUUAUUGAUAAAUGCGUGCCAGUUCUUUUUGGGCCUACAUACACCUUUAAACUUUUUUUCUGGAAGAACUUUUCAGAGUUUUGUAGGAGUGGCCCAAAACUAAAGCAUGUGCAUUGUUACGUGGAAACUUCCACUGUGGCCACUUUAUUCUUCCACUUUUUGAAGCAAGAGUGGUUUUAGUAUAUGUUUAUGUGGAAUUCACAUCCUCUUAAUUACCAUGGUCUAUUUUUGUUGGUGUACUCUUUCUUUUUUUGGUUAAAUCUGUGUGAAUUUUGUUUUGCAUUGCAGAUAGAACUGCAUCACAGAUCCAUACAAGAGGAAGUCAGGUACCAGGGAGGCCAAGGGAACAGAGGAGCCUGUGAUGGACUUGCAGUAGUCAGAAGAAACCAAGAGUUCGGCAUCCUGGAAGAUUAGGAAGGAUAGCAGGUCCCUUAUCCUGUGCAGACUGAAGCUGAGUCUAUGAGGAGGCCUGACACCACACACCUGGACUCAUCCACCAGAUGCUCUUGGUGAUGUUGAAGGCCAAUUUAGAGAAAGCGAAAUGGAUGAAAACCUAAGUGAAGUGGAUACAAAAGACCAUGGGAAGAAUGAAAUUGGAGAAUGCGAAGACAGGCAGUUCUUACAUGGCAUGUGUUAUGAGGAGAAGAGGAUAAGUGGUAGGUAGAGGAGGGAGUAAGAGGCUUCUAGAGUGGCCUUUGAAAAUUUAAUUGAAGGUCUUUGCAGGCUGAGAGGGAAAGUCCAGUGCAAAGGGAAAAGUUUUUGGUAGCAAGAGGGAGGGGAGAAUGGCAGGAGUAAUGCUUUCUCUAGUGUCCCCAUGUGGGUUUGGGCCUUGAACGGGAGGAAGGCCAAUCUCUCUGAAGCAGUAAGAGAGACAGCAGAAUGUGCAGGUCCCAAAACAAGUAGGGGAGCUGAGGAGGGCAGUGCUGGGGCAGGGCUCUUCUCAUGGAUGUACAGUAUUUUGUCAGAGAAGAGGAACAAGGUCCCUGCCUAGCAGUGAGGGAGGGAGGUUUGGGAGGUUUAAGGAGGGGGCGAUGCUGUAGGCAUUGGGGUGAGUGGAGAGUGCAGACCAGGGUGAGUGCCAGGCAACAGGUAGGGCCUCUUUCAGGUUUGUGUGUCUGUGUACAGGGGGAGAGGAGUCAGCCUGAUUGUAUAUUUUCUUCAGAUGUGGCUGGCUGCUUGGGAGCAGAAAUGGAGUUUCCUAUACAUGAGAAAUAGGGGAAUUGCUUCUCUAAACCCAGAUGGCUGACUCUCAUUUCUCUAUCUCUCCAUGGAAACAGCAGGUCAUUUUCUGCUCUGCUUCCUCUUUAUUUAGCAGAUAUACAUAGUGUAGUUACCCCCUUACAAGAAGAAGAAUCUCUUUGCUCCACUUCUCCCUUGUCCUGUCUCCUGGGAUGCUUAUGGCAUCAUUCCCAGUAAUCUGCAAGUGUGGUUGGGGGUCCAGAGAACAGAACUGACCUCAGCAGUGACUCCUGCCACCGCCAGCCAGGAAAAUAGGAUCAUAGUGGCCACACGGACUGUGUCUUUCUGAUUGCAAAGGCCUCUGUUGGGUCAGGAGAAUUUCUGUCAGAAAAAAUGUGUUUUCUCCUGGGUGGAAGCCCAUUGCUCAUGAAAGAUUUGUUUUGGACAGGUGAUGUCAACUUGUAAGCCUGUUUAGAGUUGAUCUUUAAUGAUUUCCUCCCAGGAGUCCCAUUAUGUCCCAGCUGAUCUGCUUUGUAAACAAUUUCCUUUGCCUAGAAUAUUCCCUAACUUCCUGUUCUCUGACCACUAAAAAUCAUCACUUUUAAUGUAAUAAUUUGCCCUACACAAUUUUAAUCAUUUAAAUACAAUUCAGAUUUUGUCAAGGUCUUAAAAAAUUUGGAUUGGGAUAGAGAUAAAUGAGAUAAUAUAUUCCUGCAUUCAAGUAUUCCUACUUUGGCCUUUAUAAGGUUUGUUUUACAUUUUAAGAUUUAGUGUGGAUUUUUAUUAGGAUACCUAGUUCACUAUAAAGUGAAAAUAUUUUUCACAUAUGGGAAAUUUUUUUUCCCUGUGGUGCUGGAGAUUGAACCCAGAGUCUCAUGAAUGCUAUGUAAGUGCUCUACCAUUGGCUAUCUUCCCCAGCCUGAAAAAAAAUUUUAAGGCCAGGUUUUUCCCUUAUCAUUUGAUAUAACCUCCAUAUAAUCAUU
ensembl:lncRNA